AUGGGCCCUCAACACCCAUCAAUGCAUGGUGUUCUUCGACUGAUCGUUACUCUCGAUGGUGAGAAUGUUAUUGAUUGUGAACCCAUAUUAGGCUAUUUACACAGAGGAAUGGAAAAAAUCGCGGAAAACCGAACUAUUAUACAAUACUUACCUUAUGUAACAAGGNNNNNNNNNNGGUUUACAUCAGGUCUGGUACACAGCAUGGCAUACAAAAUAGACCCUAUGGCUGAGGCAUAG
rnacentral:rRNA from 1 species